GAAACCAAACUACUGGAAACCGUACUAUUUGAGGGACGGCUGAAUUCUCUAAGGACUAAACUCACACUGGCUUGGUUAGUAUACAGAGACAGCACUCCUUUACCUGCAUGCUUCUAAUACUUCACACUAAUUAAGGCAGUUCAAGGCAGUAUGUAUUUAGUUUGGAUAGAAUCGCACCCUUCAUUUCACUGUCAUUUUCGUGGUUUUCUUCUCCUUUCUAUCUCAGUUUUAAUUUCCUUGCAAGUUAGUUCAGAUAUCAUGCUUCACUUAACCCCGGUAGCUGUGGGGAUAGUGUUUAUUAAAGGUCCCUCUAAAUGAGAAAAAUGAGAAAAAAUCACCACUCACGCAAACCAUUUCACGAUUUAUAUCAACGCUUUUGUGAUUAGUUUAAGCAUCAUCUAUUUUUGGGGGUUUAUAUCCAGACAUGGGGCGAUGACUUAUGUUAUUGAUUACUAUUACGAUUACUUCAUAUUUUCAUUAUUACUAUUACGAUUACUUCAUAUUUUCAUGAUUACAAUUACGAUUACUUCAUAUUUUCAUGAUUACAAUUACGAUUACUUCAUAUUUUCAUGAUUACAAUUACAAUUACUUCAUAUUUUCAUGAUUACAAUUACAAUUACUUCAUAUUUUCAUGAUUACAAUUACAAUUACUUCAUAUUUUCAUGAUUACAAUUACAAUUACUUCAUAUUUUCAUGAUUACAAUUACUUCAUAUUUUCAUGAUUACAAUUACUUCAUAUUUUCAUGAUUACAAUUACAAUUACUUCAUAUUUUCAUGAUUACAAUUACUUCAUAUUUUCAUGAUUACAAUUACAAUUACUUCAUAUUUUCAUGAUUACAAUUACUUCAUAUUUUCAUGAUUACAAUUACUUCAUAUUUUCAUGAUUAUGAUUACAAUUACUUCAUAUUUUCAUGAUUACAAUUACUUCAUAUUUUCAUGAUUAUGAUUACAAUUACUUCAUAUUUUCAUGAUUACAAUUACAAUUACUUCAUAUUUUCAUGAUUACGAUUACGAUUACAAUAAAAUUAGGCGAUUACGAUUAUAUGAUGUACUAAUCAUGAUUACAAUCGUGAUUACAGGAAGGACUGAAAGGGGAACUUGCAAAUUUCAUACACAUGUACCAUACUAAAUAUUUAAUUGGUUGAAUUACUACAGAUAUUUAGAGUACAUACUUGCUGUACGAGAAACUACUCACUAAGAAUUUGCUAAUAUAAUCGCAAAAAAUGAUUAUGAUUAUAUUUUUAAUGUAUUCGGUAAAGCCACAAAUCUAGCCCAUUGCUGCUAACGGGUUAAGUUAUCAUUAAUGUUCUUACUUCAUUGUCUUUAUUUUCUUAUGGUUAAGGAAACUAUUUGUGCUAUUUUUCAUUAUUUUUUUAUUUAAUUAGUCUUAUUAUUUUAUGCAUAUACAGAAAAUCUUUUGUUUAACUUUGUGAAGCUCAGCCGUCACUUUCUCUCGGUCUUCAAUAAACACAACUUUCUAUAAAUAUCCUUCUAAUUGUUCUUACAUGAUUUUUGUCUAAGUUUUUUUUAUUUUGUCAAUCUGUUUAUUUAUCUUUUUUUCAAUAUUUAUCCACUCUGUUAUCCAUCUCUCUUUUUUUUUCUAUAUUUCUCCACCCCAUUGAUCCAUUUCUCUUUCUCUCUGCAAUAUCCAUCUACUCUCAUUAUCCACUUCUUUUUUUUUAUAUUCAUCCACUUUAUCUCUCUCUCUCUCCUAUAUUCAUCCACCCUAUUGAUCCAUUACUCUCUCUCUCUCUUUCCAAUAUCCAUCAACUAUUUUUAUCCACUUCUCUCUCUCUUUCCCAAACAUUUAUCCACUCUUAUCCAUUUCUCUCUUUCUCUCUCUUGUAUUCUCCACUUCUCUCUCUCUCUCUCUCUCUCUCUCUCCAAUAUCCAUCUAUGUGCUCUUGUUAUCCACUUUUCUCUCUCUCUCUCUCAUUCUUUCUCCAGUAUUCAUUCUUUUCUCUCUCCUCUCCUUUCCUUUCCUUUCCUCUCCUCUCCUCUCCUCUUCUCUCUCUCUCUCAGUCCUUCUCUUAACAACUAAUAUUAUGCCUUAUAUUUCACUAACAUAUACUACUAACACCCUUUUACUUAUAUUUUACUUAGAUUCUACUUAUAUCUAAUGUCUGACAACAUUUCUGGCACUUAAUAGAUCCUAUCAGUACUUUACAAAGGCAUUUUAAUAUAUUCUUCCUUUCACUGGAAAUUGUUUUGAAAAGAAGAAGAAAGAAGAGGAAAAUAGAUUGAAGAAAAGGGAAAAAUGUAGAAGGGAGGAAAGAUGGAGAUGAUGAAGGGAAAAGAGGAGGGAAAGAAAAGGAAUAGAAAGCAAGGUAGAGAGGAAAAUGGAU